rnacentral:misc_RNA from 1 species
UCCGGUUUGGCACCGGCAGUCCUCCCAGAGUCCCCGCCAUUACGCGCUGGCAACUGGGAGCGGGGGUUGCGCUCGUUGCGGGACUUAACCCAACAUCUCACGACACGAGCUGACGACAGCCAUGCAGCACCUGUGCUGGCGCUCCGAAGAGGGCCCCCUGUUUCCAAGGGGUUUCACCAGCAUGUCAAGCCCAGGUAAGGUUCUUCGCGUUGCGUCGAAUUAAACCACAUGCUCCACCGCUUGUGCGGGCCCCCGUCAAUUCCUUUGAGUUUCAGCCUUGCGGCCGUACUCCCCAGGCGGGGCACUUAAUGCGUUAGCGCCGGCACUCGGAGGGUCGCUCCCCCAAGCACCUAGUGCCCAUCGUUUACGGCGUGGACUAC